rnacentral:rRNA from 1 species
AAAACGACUCUCGGCAACGGAUAUCUCGGCUCUNGCAUCGAUGAAGAACGUAGCGAAAUGCGAUACUUGGUGUGAAUUGCAGAAUCCCGUGAACCAUCGAGUCUUUGAACGCAAGUUGCGCCCAAAGCCUCGGCUGAGGGCACGUCUGCCUGGGUGUCACAC